UCUCUGCUAAUAUGAGAAAUAGAAGUAUGGAGGGUGAGGCCUGCCCAAUGGUUGUAUCUAAAAGGGUCGGUAAGAGCUGACCUCAUAAAGACAAUUGAAUGGCCGCGGUAACACUGACCGUGAUAAUGUAGCGUAAUCAAUAGCCAAUUAAUUGUUGGCCGGUAUGAAUGGCGUCACGAAGGCCCCACUGUCUUAAGAAAAUUCCCAGUGAAAUUGAAAUCGUAGUGAAGAUGCUACGUCCAAAUUGUUAGACGAAGAGACCCCAUUGAGCUUUACUGGAAACUUAUAUGGCUGAAAUAUAUUUUUGCUCAUAAAGACUAAUCUCAAAAAGAUUUAUUAAAAGUGAGGAAAAUUAAAACUUAAAUAAAUAGCUAAAAUUAUGUGGUGAAAAAUAUUUUUAUCGAAGUUUUGUUUUUCGAUUCUUUUUCUCUAAGAGAAAAAAUCUUAAUUCAAAUACUCCGUAGACUAAUGGAAACCACUCUUUUAUUUUAAGAGAGCUAACUCUUUUUCAUGAUUUAUAUCUAAUGAUGGGAGGAAUAAUGUAAGUUGGACAGUUUGGUUGGGGCGACCGCCUUUUAAAAAGUAACGAAGGUGAGCUUAAGGUGCAUAAAUAAUAUCAGCAGCCUGACUGCAAGGGAGACGUUCCGAGCAGACACUUGUUCUCGUCAAGAAGCCAUUGUUUGAUCUAAGCUUGGGGGUUCCCAUAAAGACUUAGAAAAAAACAAGUUCUUGGAGCGGAAGAAAGUGGGCUAUAAUGACCCGUUAAUUUAGAGUGAGAAUAGUUAACGAUCAACGGAUAAAAGCUACCAUGGGGAUAACAGCGUAAUAUCGUUUGAGAGCUUUCAUCGACGACGAUGUUUGCGACCUCGAUGUUGAAUUGCAGCAUCCUGGGGUGCAGUCGCUCCCAAGGGUUGGUCUGUUCGUCCAUAAGGCUGUA
rnacentral:rRNA from 1 species